AGGUGACAAUAGAAGUGUGGCAGA
rnacentral:siRNA from 1 species